UACGGGGGGGGCAAGCGUUAUUCGGAAUGACUAGGCGUAAAGGGCACGUAGGCGGUGAAUCCGGUUGAAAGUGAAAGUCGCCAGCUCAACUGGCGGAAUGCUUUCAAAACCAAUUCACUUGAGUAAGAUAGAGGAUAGUGGAAUUUCGUGUGUAGAGAUAAAAUUCACAGAUAUACGAAGGAACACCAAAAGCGAAGGCAGCUUUCUGGGUCUCUACUGACGCUGAGGUGCGAAAGCAUAGGGAGCAAACAGG
rnacentral:rRNA from 1 species